rnacentral:rRNA from 1 species
UGGGGAAUCUUGCGCAAUGCGCGAAAGCGUGACGCAGCAACGCCGCGUGAGGGAAGGCGGCCUUCGGGUUGUAAACCUCUUUCAGUUGGGACGAAGCCUCGGCGGUUAAUACCCGUCUGAGGUGACGGUACCUUCAGAAGAAGCCCCGGCUAACUACGUGCCAGCAGCCGCGGUAAUACGUAGGGGGCAAGCGUUGUCCGGAAUCAUUGGGCGUAAAGCGCGUGUAGGCGGCUUGGUAAGUCCGCUCUGAAAGCCCGGGGCUCAACCCCCGGGAGGCGGGUGGAUACUGUCAAGCUCGAGUCCGGAAGAGGCGAGUGGAAUUCCUGGUGUAGCGGUGAAAUGCGCAGAUAUCAGGAGGAACACCAAUGGCGAAGGCAGCUCGCUGGGACGUGACUGACGCUGAGACGCGAAAGCGUGGGGAGCAAAC